AUACAGAAUUACCAAGUUAAGUCUGUCAUAACUUAAAUAUAUUGGGUUUCUUCCUCACAUAUGUAUGUGUGCAUGGGUGCAUAUGUGUAUGCAUGUAUGUAUAUGUGUAUGUGUAUAGUAGAAACUUAAUUUCCUGUAAAGCUGCUUUGCAACGAUUGUAUCGUAAAAAGCGCUAUACAAAUAAACUUGAAUUGAAUUGAAUUGAAAUUAAUUUUAACUAAUAGAAUGUUAGAAUAUAAUGACUGAUAACUUUUUCAGCAUGGGUCUAUGCAAUGAUGGAGAACAAGAUAAUGGGGGUGUUAAGACCCAGAACCAAGCUUACUGAGCAAUAAAGCUAUAAUGAGCCCUUUUAUUAAAAUACCUAGGUAAUACAAAAAUAAUACAAAAAUUGUCAUUCACUCAGUAUUAAUUAAUGUAAUUCACAACUAUCUCAGUUACAAUUAAGUACAAAUUAAUUGUAUUCAGUUGUGUUUUAGGCACUAAAACAGUCCAGUACUUUAUAAUCAAAUACAUAAUAAAGCAAUUAUUCUAAUAUUGUUUUUCUUUUUCUUUAUUCAACAAGCUAUUUUCACAUUAAGAAUGUUUUCAGUUGUGGAAUUCACCUCAGAUCACAGUGUUGCGGUAAUUCCUGAUGCACAAAGAAUUAAACCAGUUGAUCUUUUAGGCUGCCUUCCUUGACUACUGAUUGGCUCAUGAAGCUGUCAGUCAUCAUUAAGCAACAUGACGCCGACCUAUCAGCUGCCAGAAAACUUCCUGCUGGCAGAUAUAAGGAUGCUGAAAGAAGUGAAUGGAGAUUUCUUUUGCUCACUUUUUGCUGUCAUUGUACUUGUUUUGAUUUUGCUUUGUUUAUUAUUGAUUUAUGCCAAGAUCCUUUGUUUUUAUUUGACAGUAGUUAAACCCUACCAUCUUUUUGAUUUGCCAUUUUUGUUUGAUUGUUACUUUGUAACUCGGAUGGCAUUGCUCUAUGAGCUUUGAUGGGCUGAUACUCCGUGACGUUUACUCUUUACUCAAGAGGAAGGUGGAUAGGGAAGAUGUCGUACGACUUCCAUUGUGCAACAUUCAGGUAACUCGAUGUAUAGAAACCCUAGGUAAGAGGUGAACGCCAUCCCCUAUAUGUUUUGUUUGUCAGUUGAGAGUAGGGAAGUAUAUGGCGCUUGGCGCUGAAGAUUUCUUUUCUUUUUAUUCCUUUAGUUAGGAUAGAGGUUUAAAUAAGGUAGAAUUGGUUUUGUUUGUUUGUUUCUUUUGGCGUCACUAGCGUCCCCUUUCUCUUGGGUUGAUUUGUGUAGUUUUUUUGUUGUUGUUCAUUUUCUUUUUCCUGAAUUGUAACUUUGUACAUAUUGGUUCUCUCUUUAAAUGACUUAUACUUUUGUAAAUAUACUUUGUAGUUAUGGAUUCUUUUCACUUUUGUAUAAUAAAUCACUUUCGUUGGC